AGCGAACGCUGGCGGCAGGCCUAACACAUGCAAGUCGAACGAACUCUUCGGAGUUAGUGGCGGACGGGUGAGUAACACGUGGGAACGUGCCUUUAGGUUCGGAAUAACUCAGGGAAACUUGUGCUAAUACCGAAUGUGCCCUUCGGGGGAAAGAUUCAUCGCCUUUAGAGCGGCCCGCGUCUGAUUAGCUAGUUGGUGGGGUAAUGGCCCACCAAGGCUACGAUCAGUAGCUGGUCUGAGAGGAUGACCAGCCACAUUGGGACUGAGACACGGCCCAAACUCCUACGGGAGGCAGCAGUGGGGAAUCUUGCGCAAUGGGCGAAAGCCUGACGCAGCCAUGCCGCGUGGAUGAUGAAGGUCUUAGGAUUGUAAAAUCCUUUCACCGGUGAAGAUAAUGACUGUAGCCGGAGAAGAAGCCCCGGCUAACUUCGUGCCAGCCGCCGCGGUAAGAC
rnacentral:rRNA from 1 species